GACUCUCGGCAACGGAUAUCUCGGCUCUUGCAUCGAUGAAGAACGUAGCGAAAUGCGAUACUUGGUGUGAAUUGCAGAAUCCCGUGAACCAUCGAGUCUUUGAACGCAAGUUGCGCCCGAAGCCGUGAGGCCGAGGGCACGCCUGCCUGGGUGUCACGCAACGUCGCC
rnacentral:rRNA from 1 species